GAGAGCAUCCUCCUGAAGAGAGUAUGUAAAAGGGCAAGUAUGCUAAUGGUGUGUGAGAAUACGUGAGAGAGGAAAAGGCAAAAAGAAGAAGAAGGAGAAGAAGAUGCUAAUGCAACAAGAAGUUUUGCGCAAAGAAAGAAAGAAUUUCUUUACUUUUGAAAGG
ensembl:ncRNA F20B10.11 ncRNA